GACGAACGCUGGCGGCGUGCUUAACACAUGCAAGUCGAACGGAAAGGCCCUGCUUUUGUGGGGUGCUCGAGUGGCGAACGGGUGAGUAACACGUGAGUAACCUGCCCUUGACUUUGGGGUAACUUCAGGAAACUGGGGCUAAUACCGGAUAGGAGCUCCUGCUGCAUGGUGGGGGUUGGAAAGUUGCGGCGGUUGGGGAUGGAUGGGCGGCUUAUCAGCUUGUUGGUGGGGUAGUGGCUUGCCAAGGCUUUGACGGGUAGCCGGCCUGAGAGGGUGACCGGCCACAAUGGGACUGAGAUACGGCCCAGAGUGCUACGGGAGGCAGCAGUGGGGAAUAUUGCACAAUGGGCGGAAGCCUGAGGCAGAGACGCCGCGUGCGGGAUGACGGCCUUCGGGUUGUAAACCGCUUUCGCCUAUGACGAAGCGUGAGUGACGGUAAUGGGUAAAGAAGCACCGGCUAACUACGUG
rnacentral:rRNA from 1 species